rnacentral:lncRNA from 1 species
CUUAGUGGGGAGAUGGUGGCACAAGUGUUCGAAGAUUGAACAAUGGUGGCGGUUCUAGGGCUAAAGUGUGGAAAAUGGAAAGUCAACUGGCAAAGGUAAAAUAGAAGGGAUAACUUCCUCUGUUAUUUAUCACAGUGGCACGAUAACAACAGCACAAAUAAAGGGAUUUUUUAUUUAAAAGAUCCCCAGAAUGUCAGACACCUAAUUGGCGGUUACCUUUAUUUAAUGAAGAGAUAAGAUCUCCUUCUAGAGAUGGUAAUGUUGAUCAAAGGUUGACCCUUAUACCCACCAAACUAGUCAGCUAAAGGCUCUGGAGCUGUGUGCCACGUGUCCAUCGAU